CAAUGAAACAAACCUACUCAUUAGUAA
rnacentral:piRNA from 1 species